rnacentral:lncRNA from 1 species
AGAGCAGCUCUGAGGAAGUCUCGGCCGGGCUGACGGGAGCCCCAGAGUGAGGGCUGCCCUUCCAGGAGUCCUGCGUCUGUGGGUGACAGUUCCAGAGAGGAAACAGAAGAACACAAAGUCUCUUGAGGUAUACACUUGGAAUUGGCACGCCAUCACUCCUGCUACCUUCUAUUGGCCAAAACAAGUCACACGGCCAGCCUAGAUUUAAGGGCAGGGGAAGCAGACCCCGCCUCUUGAUGAGAGGAGCUGCAAAGUCAUGUUGCAAAGGCAUGGACACCAGGAGGGCGUUAACUGAGACCACGAAUGCAAUUAAUCCACCACUCCGGGAGAUGAUCAAAUCUGGCUGUUAAAAAAACCUUGGCAUUAAGAUGCCGUUCUGAUUAUUUCUGAGCUACCAGCCACGAAUCAUUUAUUUUCAUGAUUAGUAGAUUAACAAGGUAGUGGGUGGUUGUGUCUGACUUUGAAAAGUGGACAUGGAAGCAACUGGCAGAGUCCCAUUCCUACUCUGACUCUUUAUGUUAGUUAGGAUGCAGAUUUGGAUGCUAUAAAAAAGAAACCUACAAUGAAUCAAUGUUUCUUUCUUUCUCAAUAAAAGUCUGGGAAU